rnacentral:misc_RNA from 1 species
UUUGCAGGUCGCCGUACACCU